rnacentral:rRNA from 1 species
UACGGAGGGUGCAAACGUUGCUCGGAAUCAUUGGGCGUAAAGCGCACGUAGGCGGACCAUCAAGUCGGAUGUGAAAUCCCCUCGGCUUAACCGAGGACGUGCAUUCGAAACUGAUGGCCUUGAGUACGAAAGAGGAUCGCGGAAUUCCCGGUGUAGAGGUGAAAUUCGUAGAUAUCGGGAGGAACACCAGUGGCGAAGGCGGCGAUCUGGGUCGAUACUGACGCUGAGGUGCGAAAGCGUGGGGAGCAAACAGG